AUAAUGAUACUUCCGUCUCGGUUUACCGGGGCGGCUCGGAGCGAUCCUCGGAGGGGUGAGAGUCCCAUGA
rnacentral:ncRNA from 1 species